rnacentral:misc_RNA from 1 species
UUUCCGUAGGUGAACCUGCGGAAGGAUCAUUAUUGUAUAACCGAGGUGCGAGGGCUGUCGCUGACCCAAAGGUCGUGCACGCCCGAGUGCCCUCACACACAUCCAUCUCACCCCUAUUUGCACCACCGCGUGGGUCCCCCUUUGGCUUGUUCGGAGGGGGGCUUACGUUUUCACACAAACUUUGUAUGCAGUGUAGAAUGUAUUUUUUGUUUUUGCGAUCACGCAAUCAAUACAACUUUCAACAACGGAUCUCUUGGCUCUC